CUGGCCGAGAAGAAAGUAUGACUGACAGGGCAACGUCAGAGACCAUCUGGAUGGAGGAUGGGGCUGGUCCUGGCUUCUCACAGUUUGGGAGGUGGGGCAGCUGGGCACCAGGUCAGCAAGCCACAGGUCCACCCACAGCCAAGGCCCAGGCUCCCCGCCUCCCCCCGUAACCACCUAGACACAGAGCACAGACCCUGCCUGGCCAUCGGCCCUCCAAUCCCUGCUGGAAGAUGUGCCCAGGCGGAGCAGGACCCCCGCAUUACUGCUGCGCGUCCAGCACCUGCAGCGGGGCCCAGCACGGUGGGCAUUCCACAUGGGCGAGGGCCAGACGAGUGAGCCACACCCCACCCUUUACUCAACCAUCCCCCAUGAGGACGACAUCAGAGUCGUCCCCCAAGCCCAGGUCUGACACUCUCUUUCCCCAACUUUGGCCUGGAGCCCGAGGCCUACCCCUCUGCUCUCCCUGCACGCUGGGUGCCCUGGAGCCGGUGAGCAUGAGCACGUGAGAUCCUGAGGCCAGAAACAUCUCCCCAACCCAGCCAGACAAACUCUAAUUCACCUGUGAGCCCCAGCUCCAGGCCACCUCCUCCAGGCAGCCUUCCUUGACUGCAGUGCACCCUGGGGUAUCUGGGAGACGCCUCUGCACAGUCUUUGAAUCGGGCUGUACAAGUAUCUGUCCUAGCGGCAGCAGAGCCGCGUCAUAAACAGUAAAACAAGCCCGGCGCGGUGGCUCACACCUGUAAUCCCAGCACUUUGGGAGGCCAAGGCAGAUGGAUCACCUGAGCUCAGGAGUUCGAGACCAGCCUGGCCAACAUGGCAAAACCCCGUCUCUACUAAAAAUACAAAAAAAGCCAGGCAUGGUGUCGGGUGCCUGUAAUCCCAGCUACUCGGGAGGCUGAGGCAGGAGAAUCACUUGAGCCCGGGAGGCAGAGGUUGCAGUGAGCCAAGAUCGCACCACUGCACUCCAGCCUGGGCAACAGAAUGAGACUCCAUCUGACAACAAAACAAAACAAAACAAUAAAACAGCAACAGCAGCUCAGGGCUCCUGCAGUUCAAGGUUUUAGCGGCCUGGGCAUGCGGUUUCUCUGCCUACUUGGACCUGAGCAGCCUCCCUCUGCCCAAUGUCACUGCACACUCCCUGCAUGCCCCAGCCCUGACUCGGGUGAGUGGACCAUGCAGACGGCGAGAGGCCAUGCAGGCCAAGCCAGGAUAGAGCGAACCCUGGCGGGGCCAGGUGGUCCCCGUGUGUUUGCAGCCUGGAUGUGAUGCCCACAUCUCUGGGCCAGGCACAGCUCUCCACUGUCGGCGGCUGGUGGGAUUAGAUGUGACCAAGGCCGCUCCCGGGCCGGCUCUACUCUGUGGGGGGCAGGUGCGGCUCUGGGGGUCCUGUUGGGCCUGAGCACGUCCCGAUAACCUGGCUGCUGCCCACUGCCCAAGCGCCAGAGCACUCGGCCACCAAUGAGAGCUGUGCUUCCCUGGUCCUGGGUUAAAA
rnacentral:lncRNA from 10 species